AUGAGCGCGUUCCCCGACGCGCGGCACGAGCUCUACUCCUGGGAGUUCUACAAGGCCUACCUCCGGUCGCCCUGGCCCAUCGACCCGCCGUCGGCGACGAGCGCAGUGCCUCUCCAUGUGGCGCAGCUGGGGGCGGCGAUGAGGGGCCGCUACCCUUACCUCGCGGACGAGGUGGCGAGGCUGGCGAGGUCCAAGACGGCGGAGCAGCGUGCGGCGCUGGGCAGGAGGUUGCUGCAGAUGGACGCUGCCGCGCUGGGCUCGCUGGAAGAUCGGUUGAAGGAAGCCACGCGGGCCGGGAAGGAGGCCAUGCUGGCCAAGCUGCAGUCGAAGGUGCGCUACGCCAGGGCCAGGAUUCAGGCGGAGGCCAUGGUCGAAACCGUCAAGUCUGCCGCUCCCAACCAGAAAUGA
rnacentral:rRNA from 1 species